AGAGUUUGAUCCUGGCUCAGAACGAACGCUGGCGGCGCGUCUUAAGCAUGCAAGUCGGACGGCAAGAUUUGUGCUUGCACAAAUCCUAGAGUGGCGGACUGGUGAGUAACGCGUGGGUGACGUACCCCUAUGACUGGGAUAGCCGGUAGAAAUACCGGGUAAUACCGGAUACGAUUGCAGGAUUCAGAGGCCUGUAAUGAAAGUAACUUUUGUUACGCAGAGGGAACGGCCCGCGUGCCAUUAGCUGGUUGGUGGGGUAACGGCCUACCAAGGCGACGAUGGCUACCCGGCCUAAGAGGGUGAUCGGGCACAUUGGGACUGAGAUACGGCCCAGACUCCUACGGGAGGCAGCAGCUAAGAAUAUUCCGCAAUGGAGGAAACUCUGACGGAGCGACGCCGCGUGGAUGAUGAAGGUCGGAAGAUUGUAAAAUCCUUUUAUGACUGAGGAAUAAGCCGGGUGAGAGAAACGCCUGGUGGUGACUGUAGGUCAUGAAU
rnacentral:rRNA from 1 species